rnacentral:SRP_RNA from 1 species
AUUCCAAGUAUGGAGUUGGCUCAUGGCCACUGGGCGAAGGCUCGGUGGUCCUGAUCACUAAGGUGGAAGGCACCGCGCUAGGCUGGUUUCACAGAGCAGCGAUCACUUCCCUCUCUUGUCGGUGGAA